CAAGAACCCCUAAAGCUUCACAGGAGAGAAUCCGUGUAGGCCUGGCUCCCAACACCAGAAGGACAGAAAGAUGGCUGAGCUUGCUGCAUAACAACCACGAGGGGAACUUGUCAGAAAUACAGAUCCCAGGUUCCAGGUCCCAGGUCCCAGUGAGUCUCACUCAGUAAGUCUUUGCUCCUGCCUAGGAAUCUGUGGUUCAAGCAAGCAUCCCAGCCCCUAUUCCACAGCAUUGACUCCUGUACACACAGAUCAGCUUGUGUUAUUUCCAUCAUCAUUACCUGAUGCCUCAUCCCUCUCCACAGCUGUACUCAGCUUCUUAAUGGCAAGUACUGAGAGUUAUUUAGAGGAGAGAGAACAAGAGAGAGAAGGAUACCCAAUAUCCCGCACCAACUGUUGAGUAGGGCAAUUAAUUGAAGAACAUGGAGAUAGUAUGCAUAUUGUCAAAAAUAUGUGAUACUUUUCCAGCAAAUAUUUAUGGUGUAUCUGCUAUGUGCCAAGCAGUGGACAUACAGGAGUGAACAACAGGGUCAUGAUUCCUCUGUGGGAAAUAUGGAUUUCCCAAGAAGGUGAUGGAGGCCCAGUCAUGGGUGAAAUACAGGGUGCUGGAGAGCACUUAGGUCUAAGCACCUCUUCUCCCAUUGAAAGGGUGGACCAGCUGUCCAGGAUAUGGCUUUUAGCAUGAGACCGCAAAGAUAAGGAGUUAGCAAUGCCUGGAAAGGGACAGGAAGAAGACUGUUCCAAGCAGAGAGAACAGCAGGUGGAACACCAGAGAACAUGUGAGUGCAAGAAAAGGAGUGAUGUGGCUGGAUGUUAGGCAGUGAAGGAGCACAAAGAGAAACAAGCAGCACCAGACCAGACAGAAACUUGGUUUUGUUUUGUUUUUUUGUUUUGAGACAGGAUCUUGCUCUGUUGCCCAGGCUGGAUGCAGUGGCAGCAUCAGGGCUUAUUGAAGCCUCAAACUGGGCUCAGGUGAUCCUUCUGCCUCCAGCCUCCCGAGUGGCUAAGGCUGCAGGUGCAUACCACCACGCCUGGCUAAUUUUUGUAUUUUGUUGUAGAGACAGAGUCUCACUAUGUUGUCCAGCCUGGUCUCGAACUCCUGAGCUCAAGCAAUCCUGCCACCUCAGCCUCCCAAAGUGUUGGGACUACAGAUAUGAGCCACCAUGCCAGGCAAAUAGGAACUUGUGAACCAUGCCAAGGGGCUUGGAGUUUAAGAACAAGAGGGUCUUGCCAAAGAGUUCGUGCAGUAAACCUAAACGAGAAAUGGUGGUGGCCAGAGUAAGGGUGGGGGCUGGGGGUGUGGGUAGGAAGGGGUGAAGAGAGAUGUCGAGGAGGUAGAUACAUGGACUUGGUGAUUGAUUGGUCAGGGUUGAAGAGAGAAGGACAGUCCAGGUGGUCCAGGACUUCAGUGGCAUCCUUCACCAAAGGGAAAGGAAGACAUUCCUUUGAUGAUGGUUGCAAGGAUGGGUGGAGAUGGAGGCGAACUAGAUUCAGGCUAGUCACAUUCCAUAUGUCUUUGGGACAUGUGAAGGAGACAACAUUCAACAGGCAGUUGACUGUGUAACAGUAAUAACAAAAACUCAACUAAGCCCUCACAAUAACCUCAGGAGAAAUGAAACUAAGGUACAGAGAAGUUGAGUAACUUGCUCAAGGUCACACAGCACAUAGUGGCAAAGGCAGUUCCAUACACAGACAUUCAGGUUCCAGAGCUCAUGUGAGGGCUCUGAAACUCAGGAGAGAGCCAGCCGGGUCCACAUGUGGCUAACUCACCACCGAAGCCACAAGAACAAGAAUGAUGAGUGAGGGGAACGAAGGGGCUAGGCAGAACUUGAGGAACACCAAUGCUAGAGGCCUGGGCUGGGACAGGAAGCCAAAAAAAGAGCUACAAUAAUCUGAUCUUCGACAAAGCUGACAAAAACAGCAAUGGGGAAAGGAUUCCCUAGUCAAUAAACGGUGCUGGGGUAACUGGUUAGCCAUAUGCAGAAGACUGAAACUGGACUUCUUCCUUACACCAUACACAAAAAUCAAUUCAAGAUGGAUUAAAGACUCAAAUGUUAAACCCCAAACUAUAAAAACUCUGGAAGACAACCUAGGCAAUACCAUCCUGGACAUAGGAACUGGCAAAGAUUUCAUGGCAAAAAUGCCAAAAAUAAUCGCAACAAAAGCAAACAUUGACAAGUGGGAUCUAAUUAAACUAAAGCGCUUCUGCACAGCAAAAGAAACGAUCAACAGAGUAAACAACUUACAGAAUGAAAGAAAAUUUUUGCAAACUAUGCAUCUAAGAAAGGUCUAAUAUCCAGCGUCUGUAAGGUACUUAAAUAAAUUUACAAGAAAAUAAACCAAACAACCCCUUUAAGAAGUGGACAAAGGACAUUAACAGACCCUUUUCAAAAGGAGAUAUACAUGUGGCUAACAAGCAUAUGAAAGAAAAAUCUCAGCAUCACUGAUCAUUAGAGAAAUGCAAAUAAAAACCACAGUGAAAUACCAUCUCAAACCAGUCAGAAUGGCUGUUUUUUAAACAUCAAUAAAAUAAGAUGCUGGCAAGGUUGUGGAGAAAAGGGGAUGGUUAUAUACUGUUGGUGUGAGUGUAAAUAAGUUCAACCAUUGUAGAAAGAUGUGUGGCGAUUCCUCAAGGAGCUAAAAGCAGAACUACCAUUCAACUCAGCAAUCCCAUUACUGGGUAUAUAUUCAAAGGAAUAUAAAUUGUUCUACCAUAAAGAUACCUGCAUGUGUAUGUUCACUGCAGCACUAUUCACAAUAGCAAAGACAUGGAAUCAACCUAAAUGCCCAUUAAUGGCAGACCUUUGCAGGAACAUGGAUGGAGCUGGAGGUCAUUAUCCUUGGCAAACUAACACAGGAAUGGAAAACCUCUGCACAUUCUCACUUAUAAGUGGGAGCUAAAUGAUGAGAACACGUGGACAUAAAGAGGGGAACAACAGACACCAGGACCUACUUGAGGGUGGAGAUUGGGAGGAGGGAGACGACCAGAAAAAAUAACUAUUGGGUACUAGGAUUAGUACCUGGGUGAUGAAAUAAAUCUAUGUAACAAACCCCUGUGACAUGUACACAGUUUACCUAUAUAACAAACUGCACAUAUACCCC
rnacentral:lncRNA from 1 species